rnacentral:rRNA from 1 species
UACCAGCACCCCGAGUGGUCGGGACGAUUAUUGGGCCUAAAGCAUCCGUAGCCGGUCAUGCAAGUCCUCCGUUAAAUCCACCUGCUUAACAGAUGGGCUGCGGAGGAUACUACAAGGCUAGGAGGCGGAAGAGGCAAGCGGUACUCAGUGGGUAGGGGUAAAAUCCUCUGAUCCAUUGAAGACCACCAGUGGCGAAGGCGGCUUGCCAAUACGCGCUCGACGGUGAGGGAUGAGAGCUGGGGGAGCAAACCGG